CGGACGGGUGAGUAACACGUGGAUAACCUACCUAUAAGACUGGGAUAACUUCGGGAAACCUGAGCUAAUACCGGAUAAUAUAUUGAACCGCAUGGUUCAAUAGUGAAAGACGGUUUUGCUGUCACUUAUAGAUGGAUCCGCGCCGCAUUAGCUAGUUGGUAAGGUAACGGCUUACCAAGGCAACGAUGCGUAGCCGGCCUGAGAGGGUGAUCGGCCACACUGGAACUGAGACACGGUCCAG
rnacentral:rRNA from 1 species